GGGAGCAAGAGUGGUGGCCAGAGGGGACGAAUGAAGCUGGGCCUCAUCAUGAGUAAUAAACCACCUAGCCUUUCCUUAGACUGAUUUUGGUCACACUGGUUUAUUUGUCUCGGCUGGGAACAUGCUUCCUGCCCCAGAGCUACGCUAAGAGCCAGGCAAUGUGGGUCAAACUGUGUCUUCCAAAAAAGAAAUACUCUUUUACCAAACAAACCUCAAGCAACAACUUUAAUGAUUGCUUUUAAAAAAAAUGAGCAGUUGAUCCUAAAGAAAAAAAGAUGCUUGUAGUCAUCAGGAAAUAAACCAGUUGGGAAUUUUCAGGGGGUCUUGGCACAGGUCCUGGACCAGCAGCAUCAGCAUCCCUUGGGAAUGUCUUCAACAUGCAGAUGUGAGGGACAUACUCUGGCCUUCUAAAUCAGAAACUCUGGGGUGCUAGCCCAGCAGUGUGUUUAAACAAGCUGACUUUGAUGUGCACUAGGAUCUGGGACCCACCGAUCUUGCCAUGGAUUGAAAGAAGAAAAUCAUUUUUUCACAUUAGAUUUUUUUCCACAGUCUCUACUAGAAAAGAGAUAAGAGCACAGAAGCUUUGCCAAAUUAGAAAGCUUAGAUAACAUCACACUGAAAGCACCUGACCAAGCUAUUACUGUUCUUGGUCUUCUGACUCUCAAUAUCCUGUUUGAACUACUGCUGUCUUAUUAUCGCCUGUGUAAACUGAGAUGAGAGGUGAAAGAUGAGAUGCAGCAAGAGAGGCUGUAUCUGGAGUGUUCUUCUGAAAGCUGAGAAAUGGCUUCUGGUCUGUGUUUAUGUAAUGCAGUUGCGUUAAAUGCAUGGGAAUGACUCAUGGUCUACCUGUUAAUGGUCGAGAAUAUCAGGGGAUUCACAAUGAGAAGAAAAUUAAGCAGAAAUAUUGCAUUACAGUGCCUCCUUCCAAAUGAGUUUCUGGAAAACGAUUUGUAGCAAGCAAAUGGAACCGGGAGAUAAGCCCCUAACUGCAGCAUAUAGCAGGAGCAGUUGUGCUCAUUUAGGCAUAUGGCAGGAUGGUUACACCUGCAGGCUUCCCGGCAGGUUGAGGGAAAUGUGACACCCUGCAUUACCAGCUUGGGAUUGCACAUUUGAAUUUGCUCCAUUAAAGAAGUGAAUCCCUGUCACUUUUCAAACCUUAGAAGCUUCACAGUUCCUUUGCAACAGCAUGUUUGAGUCUCAAAAAACAUUCAAAGAACUGCUGCAAAUCAGGAAGUGAGCUUUAAAGUUUUGAUCUGUAGUUUGCAAAGGUUUGUGUGAAACAGUGAGAGUGAAGGUGAUUUCCCAGCAUCACGUCUAUGGAGUCAGUGCAGUAUAGCGUAUUUCAGCAAAAGUGAAGUCAGCAUGGUACCUGUUUUCCAGACAAUAUAAUAUGCUUUCAAAGUGAUAAAAAAUAAAAACCCAUUGAAUCCAAAUGGUCAAAAGGAAAGGAGAGAAUGAAAGAUCUGAGUUGUGGAAACAGUGGGAGGCUGUAGGGUGGUGAGUGCUUCUUUAAAAAGGCUGCUGUUAAAAGUUUCUAUAGUGGGUGAAAUGUGAGGCCAAAACAAAGUAGAACCAGAUCCUCCUAUUAAGUCAAGUACAGGGAAGGGAAGGCAUUAUUAGGGAAGACUGGUGCACUUGCUCCCAUGUGCCAAGAAUCCAGUGUUUUAUCUUGUAAAGUUAUUAUCACAGAAAGACACUGAAAUCAUUAUAACUAGAUUUUUACCAUGAGAUCUGUUUUCCAUCUUUUUAAAUGUAGUUUGAACUACAAGUACAUUAUAAGGUUACCUACAUGCAAUAUACAACCUAGUUAACUGUGAUCGAAUUUAUUCAUAUAACAGGUGCUCCGAUUACUUUUUUACUACAGGUAAUAGAAUGGCUUCAAGGAUAGAAAUAAGUAUUUGUUUUGUUCUCUGCACUGUCAUUAGUUCUCUGUCAUAGGCUUGGGAGGGACCUUUAGACAUUAGGUCAUCACUUCUGGUGGAGGAGGACAGAUUUUUCACUAUACCAGACUGCAAGGCGUCUGUCAACAACCUCCAGGAAAGGUGAUCUCCAAGCCUCCCUUGGAAACCUGUCACAGUAAUCCCACAUCAGUGCAUUGUCACAUGUCUCCUGCCCACAGACCCAUACACCAGGAGUGUCCCAUCAAUAUUAAUAGCAAUGAUCAGGAACAUCCUAAAUCUGGCCAGAUAAAUUUAAAGUCAUCUCUGGACAACUGGCAGCUUAACAGCAUCCUUGGUAUAAUAACGCCUUAUAUAUUUAGGACCUUUAAUUGUCCUUUGCAAAGGAUAUACAAUGUGAUGCUCAACUCUGGAUGCGGGCAUCUAAGAGCAAUAUAGCAGGUAUUGGACUUUGUUUUAAUGAUUGUGGUUGUGCUCUCAUCCAUCAUAAUCUGUGUUAUGACUAACAGACUAGAGAUAACUAGUUGGGGUUCAGGUAUGGCCUUUGUCUUUGGAAGUGACUUCAUCUUAAUGGGCAUGGUGGCCGUUCAACUACCCAAGUUGAAGAGACAAACAGAUGUAGGAGCAAAGUAUCUCCACAGUUUAUUUUUAGUCAGUGUUAACAAUUAGAAUAGGCAUUUAGGCAGCAAGAUGUGGAAGAAAAACUAAAGCCAUGGUUUGAAGCUCUGUGGCUUCUGCUCCUGACUAUGUGUUGAUGUUAUUUGUAGCACAUCAGAGACAAUUAAGCUUCGUAGGCCUGGUACUAGAUGAGAAGGCAACACUUACUAAGUAUGUCUCCACACUGAGCACCAGAACUUCAACUCUAAUCAUCAGAAUGUAUUCAUUCAGCCCUUGCAUGUGCCUAUAUCUAGUCUUUUCUUUUUUAAUGUGACGGUUUAUGAAGGCGAAGGAAGUGUCUUUUGAGAGUGACUGAAGUUGAUAUUUGGAAUUAAAGUGUAAUUGUGAUAGACCAUAAGGGAUAUACAGAGGGAUUAUGGUAUCAAUCUUACUUCCAUCAGAUAAAAACUAUUUAUAAUUCUUUCUGUGAACUUUGCGAUUUUCUUAUUAAUGAACACAAAAUGAUCCUCUACAGAGGAUCCGACGCUAUCUUGCCCCAGACUACCUUGUUUGGAGAUGUGUUUAUUAUUUCAGGACUCUUUUGUUAACUACUGAAAAGUUUUCUGCAUUCUCUCAUGCAGUCUUUGUUCCUGAAUGUUUUUCAGUUGAUUUCUACAGUAGAUUUUGCUUCCUAAUGUGCUCUUCAAAAUAUCAGUCUUCCAUCUUGCUUGCUAAUAGAAAUGGCAAAAUUUUGUGGGAGCUCAUUGUUUCUCCUUUUAAACUGAGCUUGAUCUUUCUGUAAAGUAUUUGCAUUUUUCUUCCCUCUCUUUGUUAGGCACUGUGGCAAUGAUUAGGGAUGUUUUAAAGCUGUCUUUUUGGAAAAGAUCAUGUUUUUAUGGGAGUAUAAGAUGAAAAUAGCUUCCACAAUUGUAUAAAUAUUAACCCAUAUUCUGUACCCAUUAAGAAUUCUUCACCACACCUGUACCAGGAGUAAGUUUGAUGUCCUGUGCACCUAGAGAGUAUUAAAUAAAUGCUAGUCUGUUUCUUUUGGUAAAUGUAGGUAAUCUCUCCAGGUCUGGAUUUUUUAUUUGUUUCUGGCAGCAAUUUUAUUAGGUUUAUUAUCAUGUGAGAGAAUGCAGCACACAAAAUCUGUGUCCUAUGAACCCAAGAACUUUUAUUAGAAUAAUUCAUGUAUCCUGGAAUUGGUAACCAUGGUCCUGCACAUUGCAACAGGAUGCUACUAACCAAUAAAUUCAAUUAUACUUCCUUCUCCACAUUACCAUCCCCAUUUUCAUUCAACAUUGCACCCAAGGAAAGUAGUUCGGGAAUAUCCAUUGACAAGAAAACUAUUAAUAAAGCAUGCUAUGUAAACACAACUAAAUAUUACACAACCACAAAAACAAACAAGUAGAACAAAAAAAAACCCAAUGUACAUUAAUCUUGGGUACACAAUUUUUCAAAAAGUAUCCAGAGACUAUGUUCAGCAUGAUAUUAUUUUUACUAACCAGAAAGAUAGAAGAAUAGGAUAGAGGAGGAACACAUGUAUAGAUUCUUAAUACUGAAAAUGUUCUAGCACAAGCAUUGGGAAGGGGGUUCCAAGAAUAUAU